AAACUUUUAUUUUAUUUUAGAAUACUUCACUUACAAUGAAGAGGUUGUAAAGUUUU
rnacentral:tRNA from 3 species